GAUGAACGCUGGCGGCGUGCCUAAUACAUGCAAGUCGAGCGAACGGACGAGAAGCUUGCUUCUCUGAUGUUAGCGGCGGACGGGUGUGUAACACGUGUAUAACCUACCUAUCAGACUGGGAUAUCUUCGAGAAACCGGAGCUAAUACCGUAUAAUCUUUUGAACCGCAUGGUUCAAAAGUGAAAGACGGUCUUGCUGUCACUUAUCGAUGGAUCCGCGCUGCAUUAGCUAGUUGGUAAGGUAACGGCUUACCAAGGCAACGAUGCAUAGCCGACCUGAGAGGGGGAUAGGCGGCAUUGGAAGUGAGACGCGGACCAGACGCCUGAGGGAGGGAGCAGAAGCGAAUGUUCCGCAAUGGGGGAAAGCCUUACGGAGCGACGCCGAGUCAGUGAUGAAGGUCUUCGGAUCGUAAAAAUGGGUUAUGAGGGAAGAACAUAUGUGGCAGUAACUGUGCAGAUAGUGACGGUAACUAAUCAGAAAGCAACGGCUAACUACGUG
rnacentral:rRNA from 1 species